UACGUAGGGUGCAAGCGUUGCCCGGAUUUAUUGGGCGUAAAGGGCGCGCAGGCGGCCCGGCGCGUCCGCGGUGAAAGCUCCCGGCUCAACUGGGAGAGGUCCGCGGAAACGGUCGGGCUGGAGCAAGGUAGGGGGUCGUGGAAUUCCCGGUGUAGUGGUGGAAUGCGUAGAGAUCGGGAGGAACACCAGUGGCGAAGGCGACUUUCUGGCCUGUUCUUGACGCUGAGGUGCGAGAGCGUGGGGAGCGAACCGG
rnacentral:rRNA from 1 species